CAAAUCUGAAGCAGCGGAUAUGAGGAUGGAGGAGACACUCCUGAAGACUUCACUUUCUCCAUUUCUGUACUUGAAUUUUUACACCAAGCAUACAGCUUGAAAAAAAUUAAAUGAGUAUGCAGUAUUUUUAAAAUCUACAAAAGCUUCACAUUUUAAUUUUCACUUGGAAAAAAAAGAUGCGCAGCCUAAGUGGACAGUGUUUGUGAAGUCUACAGCAGCAUACAAUAAUGUCCUAGUCCUUCGCAGUCAGUCACCGCUCACUGACUCACCCAGAGCAACUUCCAGUCCUGCAAGCCUCAUUCGUUAGUGGUAUUCAGUUAGCAGAACAACAAUUAUAUCGUAUAAGCCGCAGCAGAGACAAAUGAAGAUGAAAAAACUAUCCUCAUAUAUAACUAAUCUGUGCUGUGCCCCAACAAGAACCUGCUUUAAAUUUCCAUGCCAAUUACAACCCCCAUUCUGUACCAGGCAAGGUUAGUGUCUAUUAAAAAUAUCACCAGGACAGGGCUAUCUAAAGAGACAUUCAGUAGUCUGUUAAUUAUACAAAAAAAUUUAAAAAACACUGUAAUGUUUACAAACAAAUCUUACACAGCCUUACAUUUCAAUUUUUUUUCUUUAAAAGGAGGGAGUGGUAUACAGGGUUUGUUAAAUACUUUAUGGACAAGAAAAAAACGGCUACAACCAACUUGUUUAUCAUCAUUUUCUUCUUCCUCUUCUUCCUCAUCCUCCUCUUCUUUUUUUUUUUUUUUUUUUUUUUUUUUUUUUUGCCUCCCUUUCUGGAGGGAUAUAGGUUUUCAUUUCUCUUUCAUAAUGGGUCUUUUGCC